UGUCCAACCACAUCCUGUGAAAUGUUUUAGUCUCAGGCACACAGCAACCGUGAAGACCAUGGGAAACGACCACAUCACAAGGAGGUUGCUCAUGGGGUAUGAGGAAGCCAUAGAGAAAAGGCCACCUGCCAUUACUUUCCCUGAGCCAGCCAUGUGCCACAGACUUCUCUGCUGUGUGGCCCUUUUUUUCUGGGGAGCAGGCUCCAUGGACACUAAGGUCACCCAGAGGCCUGGACAUCUAGUCAAAGGAAAGGAACAGAAAGCAAAGAUGGAUUGUUUCCCCAUAAAAACACAUAUUCAUGUUUAUUGGUAUCGCCGGAAGCUGGAAGGAGAGUUUGAGUUUUUGGUUUACGUAAGGAAUGGAGAGAUUACGGAUAAAAUAGAAGGGUUUGAUCAGCAGUUCUCAGUUGAACGGUCCCAAGAUGAACGCUACAGCCUGGAAAUCAAGUCCACUGAGCCAGGAGACUCAGCACUGUAUUUCUGUGCCAGCAGUGAAUCCACAGUGCUGAAUGUGAGCUUUUCUUAGCACACAAACUCAUCGUGGACCCAGCUCAGGAAAUAGUGGUGUGUUAGGUGAACAGGAACUAACAGAAACCAACUUGAAGAUCAUAACUCAGAAGGAAAAAUGUGUAAAUGGCAGUUCUAGCUGAGCAGAACAUACUGUUUAAAAUAGCUUAUGGGGACAAGAAACCCAAGGAAGGGGAAGGAAGGUGUGAAGGGAGCUCAGAUUCUUAGGUUUGCAGGGUAUCUGGCAAAGGAAAGACCCAGGAUGCAUUUUUCCCCCUGAGCUUGAUAGAUUUCUAACAAUCUUUAUUUAAAAAGUGUAAUUCUGUACUUCCCACCUGGCAAACCUGUGCCUUCAGGAAUAAGGAUAACAGGCGGGUCAGCUGUCUUUCCUGAGGACCCUGAUCCUCUGGCCCAGCACAUUCCGUUGAUCCAGA